rnacentral:lncRNA from 1 species
GGGUUAUUUGUUUAGAUAUGACACAAAAUCUAAUUAUUUUAUUCUAAUCAUAUACCAGUUUUCUGUCUCUCGAAUAUGACAUCACCGAAUCAUAUUCCCUACCCACUUUUUAUUAAGAUGAGUAACAUGACGGUUGCCAAAUGGCCGGAUCUUAGAAAAUGCAUGUCCCUUUCCCAUUGGUAUCUUCGCGCCUUAUAAUUCGUAAAAAGUAC